ACGUAGGGUGCGAGCGUUAAUCGGAAUUACUGGGCGUAAAGCGUGCGCAGGCGGUUAUUUAAGUCAGAUGUGAAAUCCCCGGGCUCAACCUGGGGAGUGCAUUUGAGACUGGAGGACUAGAGUGUGGCAGAGGGGAGUGGAAUUCCAAGUGUAGCAGCGAAAUGCGUAGAGAUGUGGAGGAACACCGAUGGCGAAGGCAGCCUCCUGGGCCAAUACUGACGCUCAUGCACGAAAGCGUGGGGAGCAAACAG
rnacentral:rRNA from 1 species